CCUACGGGCGGCUGCAGUGGGGAAUAUUGGACAAUGGGGGCAACCCUGAUCCAGCCAUGCCGCGUGUGUGAAGAAGGCCCUCGGGUUGUAAAGCACUUUCAGUGAGGAAGAACGCCUGGUGGUUAAUACCCAUCAGGAAAGACAUCACUCACAGAAGAAGCACCGGCUAACUCCGUGCCAGCAGCCGCGGUAAUACGGAGGGUGCGAGCGUUAAUCGGAAUUACUGGGCGUAAAGCGCGCGUAGGUGGCUUGAUAAGCCGGUUGUGAAAGCCCCGGGUUCAACCUGGGAACGGCAUCCGGAACUGUCAAGCUAGAGUGCAGGAGAGGAAGGUAGAAUUCCCGGUGUAGCGGUGAAAUGCGUAGAGAUCGGGAGGAAUACCAGUGGCGAAGGCGGCCUUCUGGACUGACACUGACACUGAGGUGCGAAAGCGUGGGUAGCAAACAGGAUUAGAUACCCUUGUAGUC
rnacentral:rRNA from 1 species